GACGAACGCUGGCGGCGUGCCUAAUACAUGCAAGUUGAGCGCUGAAGGUUGGUACUUGUACCGACUGGAUGAGCAGCGAACGGGUGAGUAACGCGUGGGGAAUCUGCCUUUGAGCGGGGGACAACAUUUGGAAACGAAUGCUAAUACCGCAUAAAAACUUUAAACACAAGUUUUAAGUUUGAAAGAUGCAAUUGCAUCACUCAAAGAUGAUCCCGCGUUGUAUUAGCUAGUUGGUGAGGUAAAGGCUCACCAAGGCGAUGAUACAUAGCCGACCUGAGAGGGUGGACGGCCACAUUGGGACUGGGGCACGGCCCAAACUCCUACGGGGAGCAGCAGUAGGGGAUCUUCGGCAAUGGGCGGAAGUCUGAACGAGCAACGCCGGGGGGGGGAAGGAGGUUUUCGGAUCGUAAAACUCUGUUGGUAGAGAAGAAAGUUGGUGAGAGUGGAAAGCUCAUCAAGUGACGGUAACUACACAGAAAGGGACGGCUAACUACGUG
rnacentral:rRNA from 1 species